UUGGGAGACUUCUGGCCGUUUCCUCCUCUGGGAAGUUGAGUAAGCGCGGCUCGGCCAAUGGGAGGCGCCUCCAGGUCGUGACGUCACGCGCUGACUCACGCCAUUGGCUCCGGACGGGUCGGAGCGAAGGAGUUUUUUUUCCCCUCCCCUCCCCCGCACUCUGCCUUCCUUUUAAAUAAAUUAGAAGUUAAUGACACGGGCAGCGAGCGGAGCUGUGUGAUUAGGGAGCUUUCCAGCGCUGUAACUUUGCCAAAACAGGAAAGUCAGCGGAGUAAUUAGGGCCGAUGAUACGAAGAGGAAGCUCGGAGAGGGCAGAUCCCACCCCCAUCCUGCUCGCUCGCUCGCUCGCUCUCUGGAAAACUCCUGCCUUCCCGAAAGCGAAAUCUGCCGGCCAGCAAGAGUCCUGGCCGGUGAGCCCUGGCAACCCAACGCUCAAGAGCGCACCGAGGCCCUGCCAAGGUCAUCGACUUCUUAUAUAAUACUCAGAUUCUCCCGAAAUAAAAAUCCAAUGAAUGCCCCCCGCGGGCCAUCUUGCCUGUUCCAGGGGCGCCAGCGUGGCGCGUUCAGGCAGCGAUCGCCCACAGCCCAUAGUAACCUAAGGGGGCCCAUCAUCACCAUCAAUAAGAUCUUCCUCCCAAGAAGGGGCAUCGGGGGGCAGGGGGUGUCUUGUAGGGACCCCAGAAAGGGUGGCAGCGAAGCGAUGGCACGUUUCACUUCCAGGUUGCAGAGGGGCGGCUGGGUGGGUGAAAUGGACGUAGUGGUCAAGGUUCUGUGCGCGCCUUUAUCGGUAAAGGAAGCGGCCUCCUUUCCAAGCGCCCCUCCAUAACAUUGCAUAUCAUGCUGGAGAAUAAACACGGGCGCAAGGAAGGUGCGCUUCCAAAUUCAGAAGGGGACAGAUGACUUUUUAUUUUGGGGAGUUGGAGACCCAGCAUUAUUUUCCAGACAGGGCCUUUCAGAACUCUACGACCAGUACUUUGAACGAGGUAAACGGAUAGUCCAGACCAGCUGAGUGAACCGGAGGGGAAGGGGUGGGGCAGGAGCAUCAAAAGGCAGACCAUUUGGGAUUUAAUCCGUUCCAAUAAACUCCUCUGCACAACAUCUCUAGACAGUCCUUUGGAUGGAUCGUAUUAGCAGUAAGGGAGGACUCCUUUACUGCUUACUAACAUCUCCCUGCAGCUGCGCCUAACCCUUGAUGACAAACAGAUGCAUCUUUAAUAAGCCGGGAGCCUGACUCUGCACUCCUUCAUCGGCCAGCGCAUCAAACAGCCUCCAGGAUGCCCGCGUAUGUCCUCGUCCCACUUUUCGACUUCAUCCCAUUUAAGCCAACGAGGUGUGUUAAUUUUAAAGUGACAUUUCAAUUGCCAGCCCGAGAAAAGCAAAUCAUUUUUUUUUUGCUUCGUAAUUAAUUUAAUGUCGUAAUGAUAGCAGCUUAAUUAUCCGUUGGUAACUAUUGUUGGUUAUUAAAACGUGGAGGGGUGUGUGUGUGGGAACAGAAGUGUCAGACAGGCAGGAUUAUAGCUCGGCUGCUCGAGCGAUCGAGAGUCCCAGGUAGCGUUGAGGAGGAAUCUGAUGGAGGAAAAUCUAUUCUUUAAUUCUCCUCGCUCAUCUUCUGCAAUAUUUACCACGACAAUAAAUCCCAUUUACUUGCAAUAACA